rnacentral:rRNA from 1 species
CCGCCCGUCACACCAUGGGAGUUGGUUUCACCCGAAGAUCGUGCGCUAACCUGCAAGGGAGGCAGCGAGCCACGGUGGGAUCAGCGACUGGGGUG